rnacentral:rRNA from 1 species
GUAACUGACGCUAAUGCUCGAAGGUGCGGGUAUCGAACAGGAUUAGAUACCCUGGUAGUCCGCACGGUAAACGAUGGAUGCCCGCUGUAUGCGAUAGACAGUAUGCGGCCAAGCGAAAGCGUUAAGCAUCCCACCUGGGGAGUACGCCGGCAACGGUGAAACUCAAAGGAAUUGACGGGGGCCCGCACAAGCGGAGGAACAUGUGGUUUAAUUCGAUGAUACGCGAGGAACCUUACCCGGGCUUGAACUGCAGGAGAACGAUCCAGAGAUGGUGAGGCCCUUCGGGGCUCCUGUGGAGGUGCUGCAUGGUUGUCGUCAGCUCGUGCCGUGAGGUGUCGGCUUAAGUGCCAUAACGAGCGCAACCCCUCUUUUCAGUUGCCAUCAGGUAGAGCUGGGCACUCUGGAGACACUGCCACCGUAAGGUGUGAGGAAGGUGGGGAUGACGUCAAAUCAGCACGGCCCUUACGUCCGGGGCUACACACGUGUUACAAUGGGUGGUACAGAAAGCAGGAGUGCCGCAAGGCGCUUCGAAUCCUGAAAGCCAUCCUCAGUUCGGAUUGGGGUCUGCAACCCGACCCCAUGAAGCUGGAUUCGCUAGUAA